rnacentral:rRNA from 1 species
UACAGAGGGUGCAAGCGUUGUUCGGAAUUAUUGGGCGUAAAGGGCGCGUAGGCGGUGCGGUAAGUCUGUAGUGAAAUCUCUGGGCUCAACUCAGAGUCUGCUAUAGAAACUGCCGUGCUUGAGUGUGGGAGAGGUGAGUGGAAUUCCUGGUGUAGCGGUGGAAUGCGCAGAUAUCAGGAAGAACACCCGUGGCGAAGGCGGCUCUCUGGAACGCAACUGACGCUGAGACGCGAAAGCGUGGGGAGCAAACAGG